CCUACGGGUGGCUGCAGUGGGGAAUAUUGGACAAUGGGGGCAACCCUGAUCCAGCCAUGCCGCGUGUGUGAAGAAGGCCUUCGGGUUGUAAAGCACUUUAAGUUGGGAGGAAAGGGUGCUGGCUAAUAUCCAGUAUCUAUGACGUUACCAACAGAAUAAGCACCGGCUAACUCCGUGCCAGCAGCCGCGGUAAUACGGAGGGUGCAAGCGUUAAUCGGAAUUACUGGGCGUAAAGCGCGCGUAGGCGGCUAGUUAAGCUAGAUGUGAAAUCCCUG
rnacentral:rRNA from 1 species